GAGUUUGAUCCUGGCUCAGAUUGAACGCUGGCGGCAUGCCUUACACAUGCAAGUCGAACGGUAACAGGUCUUCGGAUGCUGACGAGUGGCGAACGGGUGAGUAAUACAUCGGAACGUGCCCGAUCGUGGGGGGAUAACGGAGCGAAAGCUUUGCUAAUACCGCAUACGAUCUACGGAUGAAAGCAGGGGACCGCAAGGCCUUGCGCGGACGGAGCGGCCGAUGGCAGAUUAGGUAGUUGGUGGGAUAAAAGCUUACCAAGCCGACGAUCUGUAGCUGGUCUGAGAGGACGACCAGCCACACUGGGACUGAGACACGGCCCAGACUCCUACGGGAGGCAGCAGUGGGGAAUUUUGGACAAUGGGCGAAAGCCUGAUCCAGCCAUGCCGCGUGCAGGAUGAAGGCCUCGGUUGUAAC
rnacentral:rRNA from 1 species